rnacentral:rRNA from 1 species
AGUCUGAUGCAGCGACGUCGUGUGGGGGAUGAAGGCCUUCGGGUUGUAAACUCCUUUCCCCUGCGGAAAAGGCAGGGUUUUGGCCUUGUUGAUGGUAGUGGGUAAAGAAGCGCCGGCUAACUACGUGCCAGCAGCCGCGGUAAUACGUAGGGCGCGAGCGUUGUCCGGAAUUAUUGGGCGUAAAGGGCUCGUAGGCGGUUUGUCGCGUCUAGCGUUUAAGGCUCGGGCUUAACCCGGGUUUGCGUUGGGUACGGGCAGGCUUGAGUGCGGUAGGGGUAACUGGAAUUCCUGGUGUAGCGGUGGAAUGCGCAGAUAUCAGGAGGAACACCGGUGGCGAAGGCGGGUUACUGGGCCGUUACUGACGCUGAGGAGCGAGAGCGUGGGGAGCGAACAGGAUUAGAUACCCUGGUAGUCCAUGCUGUAAACGUUGGGCACUAGGUGUGGGGGCUGGUUUCAUGGUUUCCGCGCCGUAGCUAACGCAUUAAGUGCCCCGCCUGGGGAGUACGGCCGCAAGGCUAAAACUCAAAGGAAUUGACGG